CUCUUAUCAAGAGAGGUGGAGGGAAAAGGCCCUAUGAAGCCCGGCAACCAGUGAUUUACCAAGGUGCCAAUUCCUGCAAUGUUUUAUUGCAAGAUAAGAG
rfam:Clostridium ventriculi strain 2789STDY5834858 genome assembly, contig: SCcontig000005